rnacentral:rRNA from 1 species
UGGGGAAUAUUGGACAAUGGGGGAAACCCUGAUCCAGCAAUGCCGCGUGAGUGAUGAAGGCCUUCGGGUUGUAAAACUCUUUUAUCAGGGACGAUGAUGACGGUACCUGAUGAAUAAGCUCCGGCUAACUUCGUGCCAGCAGCCGCGGUAAUACGAAGGGAGCUAGCGUUGUUCGGAAUUACUGGGCGUAAAGGGCGCGUAGGCGGUUUAGUAAGUCAGAUGUGAAAGCCCCGGGCUUAACCUGGGAACUGCAUUUGAUACUGCUAGACUAGAGAUCGAAAGAGGAGAGUGGAAUUGCGAGUGUAGAGGUGAAAUUCGUAGAUAUUCGCAGGAACACCAGUGGCGAAGGCGACUCUCUGGUUCGAUACUGACGCUAAGGCGCGAAAGCGUGGGGAGCAAA